UGUUUAUGAAAGUGAUAUUCUUCUUAAAUACAAAUUUAACUUUCACAUUGAGCUAUUGACAUUCCUGAUAAUCUGAGCACACAUAACAUUCAUGUUUGCUCUUGUUUUUGUUACCUGAGGAGGAGAUCGUAGAUCUUGGAGGGGGUCCCAAAGUCCUUCGGACCUCAGCUGUAUAAUACAAAUAGAAUAUACAUAGUUAGAAAUGUGAGCAAUCACACAAGUAAGAACAAUUUAAUUAAAAGCAAAGUAAUAAUAAAAAACAUACCUGUAGAAUGGUCAAUGCUUGCUCCAUCAGGGGUGCUGCACAUAAUGUCCGGGUGUGUGGCGGCCGAGGAGAAGUUGUGGCUGGAUUCAGUGUGGAUACUGACAGGCAAUAGGAGGGUCUUAUCUCCAUCUGUGGCAGCAUCAUCAUCAGCUGUACCUGCAGCAGCAGCAGCUGCAGCACUGGUAGAUGCUUAAACAAAAUACAUGAAAUAAAAUAUUAUUAUCAACAUAAUUGCACAUCAUAAUCUCAAUAACCCUAAAAAUUAGAAUUUUUUAAAACAAAAUGUGUGCAACAUCAAAAACGCAUGUAAUAGAAUGUUACCUGCCAACUCGUCAGUAUCAUGCCCCACCAAAUCCAGACCGAGCAUCAUUUUUGCUCCCAGCUUCUCCCUCAGCUGAAUCUCAUACUCUGAGAGUUCAGCCGUAUAUGGCGCGCCACCACCGGUAGAAUGUGCAACUUGCUUCUCCCUGGCCAGCUUGGCCUUUAAGAUUCUCUUAAUGUCAGAAAAUCUCUUCUUAGUGCCCCACCAUUUUGGGAUGAGUGCCUUCGGCGGAGACACUGCCGGCUAUUGCUCUCCAUCUCUUCUUUUCUAGAGAGCGAGGUCUUUUGGGCUUUGGAACCAUAAAUAAAAUCAUAAUUCUCUAAAACAAGGGUAACUAAAACUUUGUUUUGUUCGAAAUUAAACUGGAUAUUUCUCCCAGACUUUGUCUUCCCAGACAUAACCAAACAAAAUAAUAUAGCACACAAAUGUCAGAAGAAUAAAUAUAAUGAGAACAAAGACCUAGAGCUCUUGUAAAAGCUUAGUAGGACUUAAUAGACUCCAUUUUAAAUUCCCUUUUAUAGAUAGUUAAUACGUAGGCAAUCAGCCGUUAACAAUUAUAAAAUCAUCAGCAACUUUUACAGUAUUAGGACAUCUUUUUUAUAAUUCCGUCAUUGAUGACGCCUGUUUAAUAUAAUCCUCGAACAAUAACGAUCUAUAAUUGUCAUCUUGAUGUCGCAGUAAAACAAUAUUAGCAAAUUAGUUAAAAUGUAUUUAUGGAGCAAUAUAAAUUAGUUAGUGACGGUGAAUUAGUCAUCCUUGUUUACAGGGUGUCAUACUUGUCUACAGGGUGUCAUACUUGUCUACAGGGUGUCAUACUUGUCUACAGGGUGUCAUACUUUCACACGAAUUAUGUGAGAGAGGGCUAUUGUCCUACAGGAGAGGGAUCGCAUCUUUAAAUAUUUGAUAAUACUCUUAAGAUGCAUGAAUCCAGACAAUCCUGUGAUCAAAUGUGUGUUUUCAUUUUAUUUUUUGGAUAACUAACAAACCAUACAUUUCAUUUUAUUGACAGUCAGUCAUUAGUGAUGCAUAUAUUAUGAUUUAUUUGAAAUGUUUGUAUUACAUAGUAAUCGUCAUGAACACAUGAUAAAUAUAAUCCGCCAACAUAAUAUUAAUAUUUUUAUUUACACUUGCAAGAACCAAUCAUAUUUCUCUAUAAUUGGUAUAUUUGUGUCAAACUUAAAAAUUAUUUUAGAUCAUUUUUAGGAGUUAAAAAUGGCACGACCACCCAUAUUUACUGAGGGAGAAUUAUUAAUACUUGUUUAUAGGAUAAAUCGCUAUUCCCUAGGCGCAUAGGAGGUGUGAGAGGGAUCCAGCAUGAGGAUAGAGACCGUAUUAUCUAUGAGAUGAUGCAGAGAAUGAGAAGGGUGUCUGGGGUCCGCCGGUCUAGGUGAAGUUGUCUACGGAGGUUUUCGGACCUUCAAAGACGCGAGUCGGAGCGAUAUUGCGAUUUUCAAUCGCUCAUUCGAGCAUAUCUCAGGCGUCCACCAGAAGAAUCCCCCGGUAUGUAAGGCCGGUUUCUAUGGCAACACCGAGGAGCAACCGCUCCUCACCACCUUUGCCAUUGACCCUCGUUGAGGGUUGUCAGGAGGAUUGAGGGACAGAUAUUGAAGUCCCUGAUAUCCAAGACGACCAAGUACCGGGGAAUGAUUCUGAACCGCAUUUUGAACAGGCGGUAGUUCAAGAGGAGGUGGCUAGAGUGGAGGUGACUAGAGUUGAAUAUCAUGAUCAGGGCACACAAACUGAGCCUUUACUCCAAGAGAUAUUUGAGGCGCUUGCACAGGGCCUCAACAUAGUGGCCAGGGCUGUGCGGGCCCUGCAGGAGGCCAUGAAUAGAUUUUAACAGCAAUUCAAAUAUCGUUUUUUUGAUAGUUAAAAAAAAAAAAAGUAAACCAAAAAAAAGUUUGUUAAUAAAUAUAUAUUUAAUCUAAA